rnacentral:rRNA from 1 species
AUUGAACGCUGGCGGCAGGCCUAACACAUGCACUUCGAGCGAGCGGCGGACGGGUGACUAAUGUAUGGGGACUGCCCGAUAGAGGGGGAUAACUACUGGAAACGGUGGCUAAUACCGCAUACUAUCGGAUAACCCAUAUGGGAUUAGCUAGUAGGUGGGGUAAAGGCUCACCUAGGCGACGAUCUCUAGCUGGUCUGAGAGGAUGAUCAGCCACACUGUGACUGAGACACGGCCCAGACUCCUACGGAGGCAGCAUUGGGGAAUAUUGCGCAAUGGGCGCAAGCCUGAUGAAGCCAUUCCGCGUGUGUGAAGAAGGCCUUAGGGUUGUAAAGUACUUUCAGCGGGGAGGCGUUACCCGAAGAAGAAGCAUCGGCUAACUCCGUGACAGCAGCCGCGGUAAUAC